CAUGUUCGAGUGGCUCACCGUCGUCGUCAGUUUCCGUAUAGUUUGCAGUGGCAGUCGGCUUAGGGCAUUCACAUUCAGCAUCUGUCGUCAUGGGGCGUACUGCAGCUGGUACCGGUAGGCCCCCAGCUGAAGCACCCACCAUUGUAUCCGGGCAGCGGCCAUGGUGGGCGUCUGCCAGUCCUAGCAACAGACCUUGCAACGGCUGGUGGUCAGUCACCAAGAUUACCCUCCAUGCUCGAAACCUCCGAGGCAAAUUCGUACAACAGCUCUGUGCAGUAUUACUUGGUGUAGAGCAGACAGUCACACCACAAGCAUUCAUUGACUUUACAAGAACACCGUUGCAACACCAACCGAUUCAACUAUUCUUUCCACAGUAAAUCAGGUGCAGUGCCUUGCACGUGGGCCUGAAGAAGACACAUGUAUAUAUAUGACCAAGCGAAUAAAGAAGGGAGCACUUGUUUUCCUGUUCGUGCUCAA